rnacentral:piRNA from 1 species
UGACACUGGUGCCGGGUCUGCUGUGA